rnacentral:rRNA from 1 species
AUAGCCGGUCAUAGAAGCAGGGCGCGACCCGGACCCAUUCCGAACCCGGAAGUCAAACCUGCUAUCGCUGCUGUGUUACUGACCUGCGUGAGCGGUUGGGAGACGGCAGUGCUGGCGUUU